rnacentral:rRNA from 1 species
AAAUUGAAGAGUUUGAUCAUGGCUCAGAUUGAACGCUGGCGGCAGGCCUAACACAUGCAAGUCGAACGGUAACAGGAAUCAGCUUGCUGAUUCGCUGACGAGUGGCGGACGGGUGAGUAAUGUCUGGGAAACUGCCUGAUGGAGGGGGAUAACUACUGGAAACGGUAGCUAAUACCGCAUAAUGUCGCAAGACCAAAGAGGGGGACCUUCGGGCCUCUUGCCAUCGGAUGUGCCCAGAUGGGAUUAGCUUGUAGGUGGGGUAACGGCUCACCUAGGCGACGAUCCCUAGCUGGUCUGAGAGGAUGACCAGCCACACUGGAACUGAGACACGGUCCAGACUCCUACGGGAGGCAGCAGUGGGGAAUAUUGCACAAUGGGCGCAAGCCUGAUGCAGCCAUGCCGCGUGUAUGAAGAAGGCCUUCGGGUUGUAAAGUACUUUCAGCGGGGAGGAAGGGAGUAAAGUUAAUACCUUU